AUUUUGAACAAUUGUUUGAUGUUGAUUAGUUGCUAAUGGAGAAGAUUUGAGAGCACAAAGAGUAACCUCAUUAAUUCAUACCUAUAAUUCCAUUUAGUGAAAGUAUUGGGUCAGACCGUCUGACCAUUGCUUGCUGUUAGACGGGCUGAGCCCAAAACUCAAACGCCGACGCUGAUGAGAGGAAAGUUCAGAUUGGGCUUUGUUAACGCAACCCAAUACCACAUGCGUCUUAGAUCGAAACCCAAUUGCAGCAGAACCUUGCUUCACUGCCUCCAUGGCGUAUUCUACCUGAAACAGUCGUCGUGCGGGACUUCGAAACACAAAAAAAAAACCAUAAUAUUCCUCGAAAUCAUCAAAACACAUCCUCGUGAUGGAUGUUUCUUAGAUGAUCAUCAUAAUAUGUCAAGUAUUUCCUGGACCUCGACGAUUUGUCAACAUUCUUUCAUCAGAAUCAAGCAAAACUUUGCUUCCGAAGCAGGUUGUGGAGGAUUUGAAAGUCAAGGUAUUUGUGUUUUUGGGAAGUUGUUCGUAUUUCGAUUUUUUUAGAUUACAUCGUAAGUAUUCAUAUUUUAAAUGUACAGAUAUAAUGACUCAGCUGUGACAUUGUAACUGAAUGAUUUAGUUACUUUCAUUUCGAAAAAAAUUACUUUCAUUUAGACCUAA